GGACCCGUAGCUCAAUGGAUUAGAGCGUUUGGCUACGGACCAAAAGGUUGGGGGUUCGAGUCCCUUCGGGUUCAC
rnacentral:tRNA from 1 species